rnacentral:lncRNA from 1 species
GAAAUGUUCAUUGAGUUCUCAGAUGCCAGUUUCUAGUGUGUAUGAUGAGCUUAAUACCAAGUCUUUGAAUAAAUCUCAGCAAGAACCCAAGAUCGCAUCAGUCUCAGGAGUUGGAAAGCCAACCCUUACGCUCAUAUCACGUAACGUAUUUCCUGCAGCAAAAUAACAUCAAAUUGUGAGAGGUGGCCAUAAUUUUGAGGAAGAAGAUACACAGUGGACCUGUUGUUGCUUUUCAUUCUUUUGCUCGCGUUUCACUGCAGUAAAAAGCACGUUAACUCAGCAAGGCGGUAAAGUUCAACAGCGACCCAAAAGAGAAAUUAAGGCAAAUUCAAAAGGAAAGUACGUGGUUCAUAUUACCUUUUCCAGGUCAAGCGUCAAAAGAGGCAGACAAAGCUGAAGCGCCUUAAAG